GGAAACCGGAGCGCCAGCUUCGGUGGAGGCAUCGGUGGGAUACUACCCUGGCUGUAUUGACCUUCUAACCCGCUGCCCUUAUCGGGCAGGGAGACAGUGUCAGGUGGGCAGUUUGACUGGGGCGGUCUCCUCCUAAAAGGUAACGGAGGCGCCCAAAGGUUCCCUCAGAAUGGUUGGAAAUCAUUCGCAGAGUGUAAAGGCACAAGGGAGCUUGACUGCGAGACCUACAAGUCGA
rnacentral:rRNA from 1 species